GUCGAGCGAAUCUUGAGGUGCUUGCACCUCUUGGUUAGCGGCGGACGGGUGAGUAACACGUGGGCAACCUGCCUGUAAGACUGGGAUAACUUCGGGAAACCGGAGCUAAUACCGGAUAAUCCUUUUCCUCUCAUGAGGAAAAGCUGAAAGUCGGUUUACGCUGACACUUACAGAUGGGCCCGCGGCGCAUUAGCUAGUUGGUGAGGUAACGGCUCACCAAGGCGACGAUGCGUAGCCGACCUGAGAGGGUGAUCGGCCACACUGGGACUGAGACACGGCCCAGACUCCUACGGGAGGCAGCAGUAGGGAAUCUUCCGCAAUGGACGAAAGUCUGACGGAGCAACGCCGCGUGAGCGAUGAAGGCCUUCGGGUCGUAAAGCUCUGUUGUUAGGGAAGAACAAGUACCGGAGUAACUGCCGGUACCUUGACGGUACCUAACCAGAAAGCCACGGCUAACUACGUGCCAGCAGCCGCGGUAAUACGUAGGUGGCAAGCGUUGUCCGGAAUUAUUGGGCGUAAAGCGCGCGCAGGCGGUCCUUUAAGUCUGAUGUGAAAGCCCACGGCUCAACCGUGGAGGGUCAUUGGAAACUGGGGGACUUGAGUACAGAAGAGGAAAGCGGAAUUCCACGUGUAGCGGUGAAAUGCGUAGAGAUGUGCAGGAACACCAGUGGCGAAGGCGGCUUUCUGGUCUGUAACUGACGCUGAGGCGCGAAAGCGUGGGGAGCAAACAGGAUU
rnacentral:rRNA from 1 species